rnacentral:rRNA from 1 species
UACGUAGGGUGCGAGCGUUGUCCGGAAUUAUUGGGCGUAAAGGGCUCGUAGGCGGUUUGUCGCGUCGGGAGUGAAAACCUUGGGCUUAACUCAGGGCUUGCUUUCGAUACGGGCAGACUGGAGGUAUGCAGGGGAGAACGGAAUUCCUGGUGUAGCGGUGAAAUUCGUAGAUAUCAGGAGGAACACCGGUGGCGAAGGCGGCUUUCUGGAUGACAACUGACGCUGAGACGCGAAAGCGUGGGGAGCAAACAGG